GCUGCGGUAAUUUGACUGUACUAAGGUAGCACAAUCAUUUGCCCUUUAAUUGUGGGCUGGUAUGAAUGGGUAAACGAGGGUAAAGCUGUCUCUUGUAUAUGACUAAAAGUUAAACUUUAAGUGAAUAUGCUUAAAUAGGGGUAAAAGACAAGAAGACCCCAAGAGCUUUAAUAAAAUCUCAGAUAAGGCUAUAUUUGAGUGUUAUUUUGGUUGGGGCGACAGAGGACUAAACUAUAGCGUCUUUUUUAGUGAAGAAUUUGAUUCUUUGUUGAUCCGUUGUGCGAUUAGAAGAAGUAGCUACCUUGGGGAUAACAGGCUAAUUUAUUCGGAGAGUCCCUAUUGAUGAAUUAAGUUUGGCACCUCGAUG
rnacentral:rRNA from 1 species